AGAACAGAAAAGAGAGAGGUCGAAAGAGGAAGAGAGAGAGAGGAAAUUCAAGAAUGAAUAAGAUCAAAAAGGGAAAAUACAAGGUUGUUGGAAGCAGUCGAAAGAGAGAGAAAUAGAGAAAGAAGAAGAAAAGGAAGAGAGGAAGAACAAAAGAAGAAGAGAGCUUGCGGGAUACCAAAAUUCAAGCUAAAAAUUAUGAAAACUUCAUUUUAAGGGUCAAGUGCAAGGACGAAUCAAACGCCGGAACACUGUGAACAAUUGGAGGAUCAAUAUUAGAGUUUGCUUUGGAGUCUGCUUCUUUGUCAAGCCACCCAAGAAGUGCCUCUGUGUAAAUGCUUUAUUUUAUUUUGUUAGGCUUGAGUUAAUCUUUGUAUUUUGUUAAAAGUCCUUCAUGUAGUGUGUAAGAUAUUGUGGCCCGACUUUUCGCGCUCCUUUCGGAAGGCGAAUAGCCCUACAGUUCGGUCUCCACUUAUGGUUCUGAAUCUGAUGUCACAAGUGCAAUGUGAAAUAAUAAAAACACAAAAAGAGUCUAAAUUCGGCAA